rnacentral:misc_RNA from 1 species
UAUGAAGCUCAGAGCUGUUGCA